AACGAACGCUGGCGGCAUGCCUAACACAUGCAAGUCGAACGAGACCUUCGGGUCUAGUGGCGCACGGGUGCGUAACGCGUGGGAACCUGCCCUUAGGUUCGGAAUAACUCCCCGAAAGGGGUGCUAAUACCGGAUAAUGUCUUCGGACCAAAGAUUUAUCGCCUUUGGAUGGGCCCGCGUUGGAUUAGCUAGUUGGUAGGGUAAAAGCCUACCAAGGCGACGAUCCAUAGCUGGUCUGUGAGGAUGAUCAGCCACACUGGGACUGAGACACGGCCCAGACUCCUACGGAGGGCAGCAGUGGAGAAUAUUAGACGAUGGGCGAAAGCCUGAUCCAGCAGUGCCGCGUGAGUGGUGAAGGCCGUAGGGUUGUAAAGCUCUUUUACCCGGGAUGAUAAUGACAGUACCGGGAGAAUAAGCUCCGGCUAACUCCGUG
rnacentral:rRNA from 1 species